UGACAAUGCAAAUCCACUGUUACCGAGCGCUCGGUUUAUGAUAUUGAGUUGCUACACCACCUGGCAUAUCAGGAGAGUUCUUCGUGGAGUUAUAGCAAUAAAAUCCGAUGGUGUGCGAGAUUAUACUGUGGUGACACAUCUUAUUGAAUGAUGUGAAUAAUUUGGAGCUGUGUGGAUUUGAGCUGAAGUUCACCACGUCUCCUCCUCCUGAUUUUCAUAUUCUCUGAUUGCUUGUGAAAGACAGUACAUGGCCCCCUAUACACCAAAGUGAAGACAAAAAAAUUCAUUACAAGGUAUCGACCAUAUUAAAUUAUAGAAAAUUCAUCACCAAUAAACGUCAAGAUUGAGUUACCUACAAGGAUGACCAUUAUACAUAUGGGACAUCUGAAACCUUUUUGUGAACAAAUCUGAUAGUCAAAUAUCACUGAGUAAGAACAAUAACAACAAUUUUGCAACAAAACAGUUAAAUUUUCAUUCCAAUCAGAAGAGACAGAUGUAAAAUGACAUAAAAUUAGAAUAAAUGUUAUGCUAUGGAAACAAAUUGCUUUCCAUACCUACUGUAUCACUGACACCAGACAGUAGAGUCUCUAUAACUUCUCAUAGGGUGGAAAAUUUAAGUGAAACACUGAGAAACAG